CACGUAGGGCGCAAGCGUUGUCCGGAAUUAUUGGGCGUAAAGAGCUCGUAGGCGGUCUGUUGCGUCCGCUGUGAAAACUCGGGGCUUAACCCCGAGCCUGCAGUGGAUACGGGCAGACUAGAGGUAGGUAGGGGAGAAUGGAAUUCCCGGUGUAGCGGUGAAAUGCGCAGAUAUCGGGAGGAACACCGGUGGCGAAGGCGGCUUUCUGGGCCCUACCUGACGCUGAGACGCGAAAGCGUGGGGAGCGAACCGG
rnacentral:rRNA from 1 species